rnacentral:rRNA from 1 species
AUUGAACGCUGGCGGCAUGCCUUACACAUGCAAGUCGAACGGCAGCACGGGUGCUUGCACCUGGUGGCGAGUGGCGGACGGGUGAGGAAUACAUCGGAACGUACCUUAUCGUGGGGGAUAACGCAGCGAAAGCUGAGGUAAUACCGGAUACGCCGUGGGGGGGAAAGCGGGGGAUCGCAAGACCUCGCGCGAUGUGAGCGGACGAUGCCUGAUUAGCUUGUUGGUGGGGUAAAAGCCCACCAAGGCGACGAUCAGUAGCUGGUCUGAGAGGACGAUCAGCCACACUGGGACUGAGACACGGCCCAGACUCCUACGGGAGGCAGCAGUGGGGAAUUUUGGACAAUGGGGGCAACCCUGAUCCAGCAAUGCCGCGUGAGUGAAGAAGGCCUUCGGGUUGUAAAGCUCUUUUGUCAGGGAAGAAACACCGGCUCUGACACAGUCCGGGAAUGACGGUACCUGAAGAAUAAGCACCGGCUAACUACGUGCCAGCAGCCGCCGUAA